ACCUGGUGAUCUACCCAUGGGCAGGUUGAAGUUGGGAUAGUCUCCCAAUGGAGGACCGAACCGGUAAACGUUGAAAAGUUUUCGGAUGACCUGUGGGUAGGGGUGAAAGGCCAAUCAAACCAGGAGAUAGCUCGUACUCCCCGAAAUGCAUUUAGGUGCAGCGUUGUGUAAUGUGUGCCGGAGGUAGAGCUACCAAUAGGGCUAGGGGGCUUCACCGCCUACCAACCCCUGAUGAACUCCGAAUGCCGGCAUAACAGUAGCAGCAGUGAGGCAGCGGGUGCUAAGGUCCGUUGCCAAGAGGGGAACAACCCAGACCAUCAGCUAAGGUCCCCAAAUUCGGGCUAAGUUGAAUUGAACGAUGUGGGAAUGCACAGACAGCUAGGAUGUUGGCUUGGAAGCAGCCAUUCAUUUAAAGAGUGCGUAACAGCUCACUAGUCGAGCGUUCCUGCGCGGAAAAUACUCGGGCAUAAGCUCGGUACCGAAGCUAUGGAUUGAACGUAAGUUCAGUGGUAGGGGAGCAUUGUAGUCAGCGCUGAAGCUGUGCGGCGACGCAUGGUGGAGCGGCUACAAAAGCAAAUGUAGGCAUGAGUAACGAUAAAAGGGGUGAGAAACCCCUUCGCCGUAAAACUAAGGUUUCCGUAUUCGAUGUUAAUCAGAAUCGGGUUAGUCGGGUCCUAAGGUGUAGCCGCCAGGCGAAGCCGAUGGCAAACGGGUUAAUAUUCCCGUACCCGUCUCCACUAAAAGCGACGGAGGAGUGUAGGUAUCGCGUACUGACGGAAUAGUACGUUGAAGGUUGGGUAAAACUGACCGAUAGUACUCUAAAGGCUACGGCCUGCGGAGAUAGUGUACCGAAGCGACUUCCAAGAAAUAGCGAGGAUGACGGCCCGUACCGUAAACCGACACAGGUAGUUGAGGAGAGUAUCCUAAGGCGCUCGAGUGAUUCAUGGCUAAGGAACUAGGCAAAUUAGACGCGUAACUUCGGGAGAAGCGUCGCCUCCCUUGUGGAGGCCGCAGUGAAGAGGCCCAGGCGACUGUUUAGCAAAAACACAGGACUCUGCGAAAUCGUAAGAUGAAGUAUAGGGUCUGACACCUGCCCGGUGCUGGAAGGUUAAGGAAGGGGCUUAGGAGUAAUCCGAAGGUCUUAACUGAAGCCCCAGUAAACGGCGGCCGUAACUAUAACGGUCCUAAGGUAGCGAAAUUCCUUGUCGGGUAAGUUCCGACCUGCACGAAUGGUGUAACGAUCUGGGCACUGUCUCGGCCAUGAGCUCGGUGAAAUUGAAGUAUCGGUGAAGAUGCCGAUUACCCGCAACGGGACGAAAAGACCCCGUGAACCUUUACUACAGCUUCACAUUGCAUUAGGGUAUAAGAUGUGUAGGAUAGGUGGGAGACAUUGAAGCGGCCGCGCCAGCGGUUGUGGAGUCGUCCUUGAAAUACCACCCUUCUUAUACUCUGAUGCUAACUCCUAUGAAGUAGGAGGACCGUGUGUGGUGGGUAGUUUGACUGGGGUGGUCGCCUCCUAAAGCGUAACGGAGGCUCGCAAAGGUUCCCUCAGCAUGGUUGGUAAUCAUGCGAAGAGCGUAUGAGUAUAAGGGAGCUUGACUGAGAGAGAGACAUCUCGACCAGGUGCGAAAGCAGGCUCAAGUGAUCCGGUGGUUCCGUAUGGAAGGGCCAUCGCUCAAAGGAUAAAAGGUACUCCGGGGAUAACAGGCUGAUCUCCCCCAAGAGCUCACAUCGACGGGGAGGUUUGGCACCUCGAUGUCGGCUCGUCACAUCCUGGGGCUGAAGAAGGUCCCAAGGGUUGGGCUGUUCGCCCAUUAAAGUGGCACGCGAGCUGGGUUCAGAACGUCGCAAGACAGUUCGGUCUCUAUCUGUUGCGGGCGUAGGAAUAUUGAGAAGAUCUGCUUCCAGUACGAGAGGACCGGAGUGGACGCAUCUCUAGUGUAUCGGUUGUGGCGCCAGCUGCAUCGCCGAGUAGCUAUAUGCGGAAUGGAUAAGCGCUGAAAGCAUCUAAGCACGAAGCCAACUUCAAGAUGAGUAUUCCAUU
rfam:Lewinella sp. 4G2 scaffold34_cov53_read170, whole genome shotgun sequence.